GUCAAAGUUCCGACAGAUUAGGCCCGACCGACGUUCCGGCCUGGCGUUCGCCUCCACCGCAACGCGACCCGCGCUGCAAAUCUUCUCCUCCAUUGUAGCCCGUAACCGACAAAGGCGCCGGGCACCCUACCCCAGGUUCGUUCCUCGUACUCGUGCAUUU